rnacentral:lncRNA from 1 species
UCUUACUGUCUUAAAAACUCAGAUUCUUUCAUUGAAAUGGCAUUAAGUAAACUUAAGACAAUGCUACAUGGAUUAGAGACUACCUAUAGUGCACCCAACUUGCAGGAUGUCAUUUAGUAUGCGUGUAUUCUUAACCCAACUUGCAGCCUAAUGGCUUUUUAAAGUCAAAACUUCCAUAGUCCUUUUGCAGUAUGAUUUUUGAGGCAUAUGGAGACAGAAUCUGAGCCAAUAUAUUUUAUUCCAAAUGAGGCUCUUUGAUUUCUCACAUGCUUUUGAAAUGUGAUGUUUGUCUACCCUGGAAAACUCUGCCGUUUCAACUCUCUGGAAAGCUAGGAAAGGUUUUGAAUAAUUGUAUCAUGGGUAGUUUUUGGAUUCCACUACUUGUGGGCUACUUCUGCUGGAUAAAUGUGUUGCCUACAUACAGUAUUCUCUUAACCCUGCUUCUCAAAAUCCUAUAUUUUCUGUUGUCAAGUCAAGAAUUACAAAGCCACACUUUGGCAUGGAGAAUACUACUCUACAGUUACUCAUCCUUAAUGACCUGUAGUACAGAAAAGUGAAAACAUUGUGGAGGAGAUAAAUUACCAAAAUAGAAGAUAAGCUGAAAAGGCAAUGGAAAAUAUAUCAUACAUAUCAAAGUUGCUCAUUUAUGCUAUUUUGCCAUAACAAUGCAUACAACUGAAGCACUUCCCUUCUCCAUUGGAGUUUUGUCUCUAGAGGUAUUAAAUAUUAAUCUUAUAAAGAAAAGAAAGCAAAAAAAAAAAACCCUGAACACAUGUUAAUAGGUUAGGGUUUUAAGAGCAAAUCACAAAAGCAGAAUAAGUACUUGGAGGAAAAAAACAGGAAGAGAGAGAAAGAGGGAGAGAGAGAGAGAGGUGGGGUAAAUUGUGGACCCUCCUUUUAAAGAAACAAAAUUUUCCACAGAGUUGCAUUAAUACUUAAAUUGGACUAACUCCAUGUGAAUCCUCGUAAGAAAUACUAUUUCCUUUCAAUUAACUCAUCUAUCCUACAAUUACAUGUCAUGAAAUCUAAAGGCAAAUAUGUUUACCCAGUAAGGGAAUAACAUUCGAGGCAAAAGUGAUGUCACAAACAGAUGGGAAUUCCAAGUAAUACUGAGUCAUGGUUCUAGGGGAAUAAAACAAUUACUUUACAGCUCAGUGCAAUGUAGUAUUUAAAGAAAAGGUAUUUCAAUAGAAUAGCCCAGACAAUUAUUCAACAUUUAACAGAGAUUAUAUUAGUCUAGAUAUGUUAAUUUGGAUUUUAUUCUGUUUUUUAUUUAUGUUAAUAGGUUUGGUUACUGGUUUAAAGAAAUAUUAGAAGUUUAUCUUUUAUUUUUACAAAUAGAUUAACAUUUGUCUUAGAGGGAGUUCUGCCCUUCAUGGAUAAUACCUUUACCUGCUAAAUCUAGAUUUCUUUUUCUAUAGUAAGUUUUAAACCAGUAAUUGAUGUAAAAAGAUGCAACAAAUAAAAUUAUAGCUACUAAUGGGCAUGUAUUUAUUAUACAGUAGGCAAUUUGCAGAAAGUUUUAUGUAUAUUAUUUUUAUUAAUCUUUAUGACAUUGGAAUUCCAUCAGGUAGGCAUUUUGAUUCCCAAGUAAACUAAAGAGAAGAAAACUGAGGCUUAAAGAGGGCCUGUUUGCGUGUUCCCAACUGCUAUGUGGCCAAGAAUAAUGAAAUGAUGGAAAACUCAAGUCUGCAAACCUUAAAUUUUCAAUCAAAGGGAGGAAACCUUGGGCAAAUGAAGAGGUCAUGGAUAUGAUAUGAAAAUAUUUUAUGAUUUUGCAUGUGAGAAGCUACUGCAUAGAUGAAUUCAACUGCAGGAUCCCUUUUAAAAAAUAUGUAUCUUCAAGAUUGAGUGUGAGCCUUCACAAACUCCUCCUUGUAUCUUAAGUCUGCUGGAGUACUGGCCUGACUCCACUCACUCACUGUGUACUUCGUUUGAAACUAACAAACAAUACAGUGACUGUCAGUAGAUGUUGCCUCCUCAGUCUACAGAGCCAACAAAAAUUAUGGAAAAUGUCAUCAGAUUUCCAUGACAACAUCACGCUGUAUAAUCAACAUGGUUCGAACUAGUCACAUCUUUGCACAACUGGACACAUCAAAAUAAUUGUAUUAUGUCAUCAGUGAUGCCACCAGACAGAGCACCAGCUCCCUUCCUACACUGGAUAGCAGACGUUCAAAUAACGCAAUGUACUGAAGAACUAAUACAGUUUAGACACCAGAGGUCUCACAAGUUAAACCCUCUAUAUAAUACAGAGCCCUCCUGAGAAUCAACUUAAGGUGAAAUGUUUUAAAGAAGAGAUAAUGGUGGUGGUGUGGUGGUACAUGUUGAGCAACCAGCUCUCUGGAGCAACUGAAAAAUACUUCUAAUCUGGCAAAUUCAGCGAGAAGACUGAGUUCCUUAAUUUCUGUCAGCACCAGUGAAAAACUGUCCUAAACUGACCCUGGCUUACAGAUGUACCACUGGAUCUUGGACUAAAUGGUAAUGGUAAUCAUUCUGAGCUUCCAUUAAAAUUCUAAGCCUUCUUCCAUUUUAUUUCUUAUUAACAGCUAUUAUUGUUGUUGUUGUUGUUGUUGUUGUUGUUGUUGUUGUUAUUAUAGCAAAGAAGAACAGCAGAAUGGUUGGUGGAGAUUCCUAUGCUUUCGACCCAUGGCGGGGUCACUAAGUCAGGUGAAUCACCUCCCACCCCUAAAGAUUCCCACCCAGUUAUGCCUUCUAAUGUGCUGUUCACAGUUUAUCAACUGAUUCUGAAAUUCUGAGACUUAACAGUUUUAAACUGA